AUCGUUCUUCGCUCAUCGUUUUUCGUUCUUCGUGUCAUUUUUUAAUUUUUCUUCUUCGAUUUUUCUUGUCUUUUUCGAUUCUUUUUUUUCUUUUUCUUCUUUCGUUUCUUCUUUUUGAUUCUUUUAUGAUUUUUCUUUGAUUUUUUUUUCAAUUCUUCUUUUUCAGAAAAAAGAAUGGAGAAAAAUUUUGAAGAAUGAAAAAUGAAGGAGAUGGAUGGAAGAGAAAUAAAUGAGGCGAAAUUUGAAAAUUUGAGGAGUAGAGAAAUGAUUUUGAAAAUUUAAGGGGGAGGAAAAAAAAAUUGAAAUUUUGAAAAAUGAGGGAAAGAAAAAAAAAGUGAAAUUUUAAAUUAUUAAACAUUUGCGGACAGCCUAACAACAGUUUUUUAAAAUUCGCUGUUAAAUUAAUGGUGAUUUUAGAUCCGCUCUAAAAUAUAAAAUUUAACAAUAAA
rnacentral:lncRNA from 1 species